UUUAAAGGACAUAGAAAGAAGAUUUAAAAGCUAAUUUAAAAGUAUAAAAUUUAGAAAAAUUAUAUAUAUAAGAAAUCCAACAAUUACUGUUUUGUUAUAACUCUGAAAAGUCCAUGAAAAGGGACUAACAAGAAAAAUCAGAAGAUCUUAGAGCAGAUCAGUAUGUUUUUCUCCUUAUAUAAUUCCUCUGAAAUCUGGCAAUGCUUAAUAAGUCAUGGCAAUACAUUUCUUUGCAUGAAAUCAAUAAGACCGGUUUUCAAUAGUGAUUUUAUUAACCGGAAACUUUGACUGGAGUAUCAUGUUUUAAAGAAACCUGUCUAAGCUCUGAAGACUUGAAGCCAAUAAGAGUGCCACGGAGAAAGCCUGGUAUCCUACUUGGAAACCCUGAAGAUGGCUGGCGCUGGAGAGUCAGGCCCAUGCCCUACCAUCACUGGCGGUUGGUCAGAGUAGAAGGGGAGCAGUAAGGACGCCUCCGCGUCCCUGCGGAACCCCCACACACUCUGGGCUGCAACGAGUAGGAGGGCUACUGAGAUGGGCCUUAAAGCCUAGAGCAUGGGCUCAGGUGGAGUUGCUACAGGUGAGGGAUUCACCUAACGCAGCAGAUACUGCAGGCAGGCCUGGUGGCAGCUGGAUGGCUUGGCUUCCUGGCCACUACAGGGCACAUUAAGAUUCAAUCAUGAAAUUCCAGCAAAGGUAGUCAGUUACCAUUCUUGUUGUGUUUAUGCAAACAUCAGGCCAAAUUAAAUACAGUAGAUAAAUUAAUCUUGAUUUGGCUUUUUGAUAGCCAUAGAGGAAUUUUUAGGAAUAAAAACUCUAUUUCAAUGGAGGUUAUUAAAACUGAAAUGUUUUCUUUCCCUUCCACUGGACCAUUUGUUAUAGUUUGUCUCUGCCAGGUCACAAGCCCAGCUCCUUCUGUGCCCAGGACAGCAGGGAGCCUGACUGGAAGGUGACCUCUGACUAGACACACCCACUGCAGAUCACCCUCAAGAAGACAGCGGACCUCGGCGGACCCCUUGUAACCCUCCUGAUGCUGUUGACUUUCGGCCCUUGCAUUAUUAACAGACUAGUCCAAUUUGUCAAGAAGUGUAUAAAAAUAGUUCAGUUGAUAGUUCAGUCCGUCUCAUGAUUGAGCCGGAAGUUCCAAGACAAGGGGGGAAUGAAAGGACAGAACAGGCCUGAUAGCUGUGUUGCUGUUGAAAGGACAGAAUGGAACUGAUAGCUGUGUCCCUAAUGAAAGGACAGAACAGAACUGAUAUUACUCAGCCUGCCCUUAUCUCAGCCAAUGGGAAAGCAAGGGAAACUAGCACCCAGCCCUCACUCAACCAACCAGAAUCAACCAAGUGCCUCCAAACCCCUCCCCAAGCCCUAUAAAUUCUUUGUUCUC